CAAAGAGACAAGGAUAUCACAACCUUUUACAAUCUCAUGGUUACUCUCUGGCAGGAGCUGGACCAGUGCUAUGAGAAUGAUUGGGAAAAUCCCAAUGAUGCAACUAGGUUCAAGAAGAGAGAAAAGAAUGAUAGAGUUUGCAUGUUUUUAGCAGGCUUAAAUCAAGAACUGGAUGAGGUGUGUGGUAGAAUUUUGGGUAGAAAACCACUGCUGUCAAUGCGAGAAGUGUUCUCUAAAGUUAGGAGGGAGGAAUCCAGGAGGAAAAUCAUGUUGCGAAACUCUAAUGGUACAAGGAUGCAAGAAGCUGAAAGUUCAGCCUUGGUUGCAAGGGGACACGAACCAGAAGGAGAAAAAAAGAAACGACAUUGGUGUAAUCAUUAUAGAAGACCAUGGCACACUAAGGAAACCUGCUGAAAACUCCAUGGAAAACCACCCAACUCAAAAAAGAAACCAACUGGAGAGGGUCGGGCUUUCCAAACCUCAAAUGCUGAAAAUGUGGAGCAGAAAGGCAACUCUGAGUCAUCUUCAUUCACUAAGGAACAACUAGAGCACCUGUAUAAACUCUUUACCACAAAAAUGUCAGUGACUCCAUCCUCUUCUUUGGCUCAAAAAGGAGUUGAGUUCGGGGAGGAUGAUUGGUAGUUCUAAAGAGGUUGAUGGUCCCUAUCUCUUUGAAGAUGAGUCUGGUCGUAAGGAGAAACUCCAGAAAAAUUGUCUCAAUUCAAUUCUGAUUCAUAAAGAUGAAGAAAUAAUGCUAUAGCAUUAUCGGCUAGGUCACCCCAAUUUUUUUGUAUUUGAAGCAUUUAUUUCCUGACCUCUUUAAAAAUAAAAAUCCAAAUUUAUUUUCU